CCUGACUUUGACUCUUUCCUCAGGGUGCUAUUGGCAAAGCCGGGGAGCCAGGGAGAGACGUAAGUGAGG
rnacentral:pre_miRNA from 1 species